rnacentral:rRNA from 1 species
AAACCAACAGGGAUUGCCUUAGUAGCGGCGAGUGAAGCGGCAAAAGCUCAAAUUUGAAAUCUGCCUUACGGCCGAGUUGUAAUUUGUAGAUGGUAACUCUGUGGCAAGCCUUUGCUCAAGUUUUCUGGAAAGAAACAUCAUGGAGGGUGACAAUCCCGUGAGGCAUUGGUGCAGCUGCGUGUAGAGUGCUAUCAAAGAGUCGAGUUGUUUGGGAAUGCAGCUCAAAGUGGGUGGUAGACACCAUCUAAAGCUAAAUAUUGGCGAGAGACCGAUAGCGAACAAGUACUGUGAAGGAAAGAUGAAAAGCACUUUGAAAAGAGAGUGAAAAAGUACGUGAAAUUAUUGAUACUGAAGGGUAUAAAAUUGGACUCAAGGCCUAGGUUCGGUAGCCUCUCGGGGUUGCUUUGUCCUAGGCCCUAAACCAGCAUCAGUUUUGGCAGGUGGAUAAACAACAUGGAAUGUAGCUGCUUGCAGUGUUAUAGACUUGUUGCAUACACCUUGCCGGGACUGAGGACUGCCUUUGUAGGAUGCUGGGGUAACGAUUUUAUACCACCCGUCUUGAAACACGGACCAAGGAGUCUAUUGCCUAUGCAAGUGUUUGGGUGUUAAACCCGAGCGCGUAAUGAAAGUGAACGUAGGUUGGAGCCCGCAAGGGUGCACAAUCGGCCGAUCUUGACGUUUUACAGAUGGAUUUGAGCAAGAGCAUAGUUGAUGGGACCCGAAAGAUGGUGAACUAUACCUGGACAGGGUGAAGCCAGAGGAAACUCUGGUGGAAGCUCGUAGGCGUUCUAACGUGCAAAUUGAUGCUCAGAUCAGGGUAUAGGGGCGAAAGACUAAUCGAACCAUCUAGUAGCUGGUUCCUGCCGAAGUUUCCCUCAGGAUAGCAGUCGUUAUUUACAGUUUUAUGAGAUAGAGCUAAUGAUUAGAGGUAUUGGGGGCGCAACGCCCUUGACCUAUUCUCAAACUCCGAAUGCGUAAAAUGCAAUCCUUACUUGAUUGAAGGUUUGCGGUAGAAUGUAAACGAUUAGUGGGCCAAUUUUGGUAAGCAGAAUAGGCGAUGCGGGAUGAACCGAACGCGAGGUUAAAGUGUUCAAGUGUACGCUCAUCAGAUCCCAGAAAUGGUGUUGAUACAUUUAGACAGCUGGACGGUGGCCAUGGAAGUCGGAAUCCGCUAAGGAGUGUGUAACAACUCACCGGCCGAAUGUAUUAGCCCAGAAAAUGGAUAACGCUCAAGCGUACCACUUAUACCUCGCCGCUGUUGCUAAUCAGGCAUCAGCGAGUAGGCAGGCGUGGAGGUCGUGAAGAAGCCUUGGGCGUGAGCCUGGGUGAAACGGCCUCUAGUGCAGAUCUUGGUGGAAGUAGCAAAUAUUCAAAUGAGAACUUUGAAGACUGAAGUGGAGAAGGGUUCCGUUGGAACAGCAGUUGGCAACGGGUGAGCCGAUCCUAAGGCACAAGGUAGUUCUGUAAAGGGUGUCUGAUUUAUCAGGCCUUUGCCGAAAGGGAAACCAGCUAAUAUUCUGGUGCUUUGAUAUGGAAUCUACGCGGUAACGCAACUGAGUGUGGAGACGCUAGCAUGAGCCCUGGGAGGAGUUAUCUUUUCUUUUUAACAGUGUGCAGACCUUGAAAUUAGAUUGUCUAGCGAUAAGGUUUGAGCUCUGGAAGAGCGUGACAUCUCGGUCACGUCCGGUGCGCUCAUGAUGGACCAUGAAAAUCCGCAUGAAGAAAUAUUUUACAUACAAAGUCGUACUCAUAACCGCAGCAGGUCUCCAAGGUUAACAGCCUCUAGUUGAUAGGAUAAUGUAGAUCAGGGAAGUCGGCAAAUUAGAUCCGUAACUUCGGGAUAAGGAUUGGCUCUGAGGGUCGAGUAGGAUGGGUUGCAGGUUGACGUUGUUGGGACUGGACUGGGCUCCAGGCGGCUCGCGCUGCUUGGGGACCGGACCGGACUCGGCCUCUGAGGCCUGCAAUAGGCUUCGGCCGUCCGCCUACAGUGAACGAUCAACUCAGAACUGGUACGGACAAGGGGAGUCUGACUGUCUAAUUAAAACUUAGCAUACAGCUAAUCUCAAAAAGAUAUCGACUGUAUGUGAUUUCUGCCCAGUGCUCUGAAUGUUAAAGUGAAGAAAUUCAACCAAGCGCGGGUAAACGGCGGGAGUAACUAUGACUCUCUUAAGGUAGCCAAAUGCCUCGUCAUUUAAUUGGUGACGCGCAUGAAUGGAUUAACGCGACUCCUACUGUCCCGAUUUACCACCUAGCGAAACCACAGCGAAGGGAACGGGCUUCGCAAAGACAGCGGGGAAAGAAGACCCUGUUGAGCUUGACUCUAGUUUGACACUGUGAAGAGACUUGGAAGGUGUAGCAUAGGUGGGAGCUUCGGCGCCGGUGAAAUACCACCACUUCUAAUGUUUCUUUACUUAUUCAAUGAAGCGGUACGACACUUUGUGUCUCUUAUAGCUUGCAACCCUUCGGGGGAACCGGGUUGAAGACACUGUCAGGUGGGGAGUUUGGCUGGGGCGGCACAUCUGUUAUAAGAAAACGCAGAUGUCCUAAGGGGGACUCAUGGAGAACAGAAAUCUCCAGUAGAACAAAAGGGUAAAAGUCCCCUUGAUUUUGACCUUCAGUGUGGGUACAAACCAUGAAAGUGUGGCCUAUCGAUCCUUUAGAUCCUCCGUGUUUGAGGCUAGAGGUGCCAGAAAAGUUACCACAGGGAUAACUGGCUUGUGGCAGUCAAGCGCUCAUAGCGACAUUGCUUUUUGAUCCUUCGAUGUCGGCUCUUCCUAUCAUGACGAAGCAGAAUUCGUCAAGCGUUGGAUUGUUCACCCACUAACAGGGAACGUGAGCUGGGUUUAGACCGUCGUGAGACAGGUUAGUUUUACCCUACUGUCGAAUUUUUUGCAAUAGUAAUUGAAUUUAGUACGAGAGGAACAAUUCAUUCCGGUAAUUGGUUUAUGCCGCUGCUCGAUCGGGCAAUGCGGCGAAGCUACCACCGGCUGGAUAAAGGCUGAACGCCUCUAAGCCCGAAUCCAUGCUAGAACGCAAAGACACUUGCCUCGCAUAUUCUAGUUGAGUAUCAAUAAGCUUCGGCGCAGAACCAUAUCAGGUUGCCCACGGCAGUCCUCCGGAACAGGUGGGCUGUUUGGCAACGUAUCGCAAUGUCAUAAUGUGCGGGGAUAAAUCCUAUGCAGACGACUUAAAUGUACGACUGGGUAUUGUACGUGGUAGAG